GGCCUUGGAUCUCGGUCCGCCUCAAACGAGGUGCGUACCAGGGAUCUGAGGCCAUCCUCGGAGAAAACAUAUCUGUCAUUAAGUUAAUGGGUAUGGGAUCUCCGUCAUUUACUGUGAGCAAAAUAGGGUGUUCAAAGCAGGCUUACGCCGUUGAAUACAUUAGCAUGGGAUAAUGGAACAGGACUGGUGUCCUGAUUUCGUUGGUUUCUAGGAUAUCAGUA
rnacentral:rRNA from 1 species